rnacentral:rRNA from 1 species
UACGUAGGGCGCAAGCGUUUGUCCGGAAUUAUUGGGCGUAAAGAGCGCGUAGGCGGCCAGAUAAGUCCGGUGUGAAAGUCAAAGGCUCAACCUUUGAAUGCCGCUGGAAACUGUCUGGCUAGAGUCCGGGAGGGGCGAGUGGAAUUCCUGGUGGUAGCGGUGAAAUGCGCAGAUAUCAGGAGGAACACCAAUGGCGAAGGCAGCUCGCUGGAACGGUACUGACGCUGGAGGCGCGAAAGGCGUGGGGGAGCAAACAGG